AGGACGAGCAGAGAUGCGAAAGGGCAACUUACUUCCAAAGUGACACUAACUUUAUAAUUCUUUGGAGACUUUGAAGAAAAAAAAAAAAAGAAGAAUUUUAGCAGAGUAGAGAGAACCCAAUGAUAGUUUUGCUUACUGCUACUGUUCCUCUUUCAAGUCUUGGUUGACAGUGUUCCACUGGUUGCCACAACUUGCUUUCUCUGCUGCUCUGUAAAGAAAAUCCAAACUCCCAAGUCAAGGUAAA